rnacentral:ncRNA from 2 species
CAUAUCUUUCGGGGUUGGAUGUAAUUUCCAAUCGGUAGUAAAUGGUAUUAACCAAAGCCUACGAGCCGAGAUUAUAUCAGAGCACGAUCAUGUGUAAUUCAUGAGCCGACCGUUACAGUCGGGAUAGAAGAAAGAUAGA